GCUGGCGGCGUGCCUAAUACAUGCAAGUCGAGCGGACCAAAUCGGAGCUUGCUCUGAUUUGGUCAGCGGCGGACGGGUGAGUAACACGUGGGCAACCUGCCCGGAAGACCGGGAUAACUCCGGGAAACCGGAGCUAAUACCGGAUAACACCGAAGACCGCAUGGUCUUUGGUUGAAAGGCGGCCUUUGGCUGUCACUUGCGGAUGGGCCCGCGGCGCAUUAGCUAGUUGGUGAGGUAACGGCUCACCAAGGCGACGAUGCGUAGCCGGCCUGAGAGGGUGACCGGCCACACUGGGACUGAGACACGGCCCAGACUCCUACGGGAGGCAGCAGUAGGGAAUCUUCCGCAAUGGGCGAAAGCCUGACGGAGCGACGCCGCGUGAGCGAAGAAGGCCUUCGGGUCGUAAAGCUCUGUUGUGAGGGACGAAGGAACGCCGUUCGAAGAGGGCGGCGCGGUGACGGUACCUCACGAGGAAGCCCCGGCUAACUACGUGCCAGCAGCCGCGGUAAUACGUAGGGGGCGAGCGUUGUCCGGAAUUAUUGGGCGUAAAGCGCGCGCAGGCGGUUCCUUAAGUCUGAUGUGUAAGCCCACGGCUCAACCGUGGAGGGUCAUUGGAAACUGGGGGACUUGAGUGCAGGAGAGGAGAGCGGAAUUCCACGU
rnacentral:rRNA from 1 species